CAUUAAUUAUGGAGUAAGCCGGAGAUCCGCAUUAAUUGUUGAGUGAACUGGGGGUUUGCAGGGGUCAUGCGCAAUAAAUGCCGGAGCAGUGGCAGGGUAUGGCUCUCGGUCGGACCUCGGAGGGGUACGGCCGUAGUAGGUGGUUGACAAGAAUAGACCUCGGGUGUCAGAAAUUUUCCGGGUCGGAGGUUCUGAGGUCGGACGUUCUGAGGUCGGACGCCGACUUCGGCUGUCCAAGGUCGGCGGUUGUGCGACUUCUU
rnacentral:lncRNA from 1 species